UAUACGACCGUACCGCAAACCGACACUGGUGCGCGAGAUGAGUAUUCUAAGGCGCUUGAGAGAACUCAGGAGAAGGAACUCGGCAAAUUGACACCGUAACUUCGGAAGAAGGUGUGCCCUAUUAGUGUGUAGUGAACAACGAAGCAUGAAUGGGUUGCAAAAAAUCGGUGGCUGCGACUGUUUAUUAAAAACACAGCACUCUGCAAACACGAAAGUGGACGUAUAGGGUGUGACGCCUGCCCGGUGCUGGAAGAUUAAAUGAUGGGGUGCAAGCUCUUGAUUGAAGUCCCAGUAAACGGCGGCCGUAACUAUAACGGUCCUAAGGUAGCGAAAUUCCUUGUCGGGUAAGUUCCGACCUGCACGAAUGGCGUAACGAUGGCCACACUGUCUCCUCCUGAGACUCAGCGAAGUUGAAAUGUUUGUGAUGAUACAAUCUCCCCGCGGAAAGACGGAAAGACCCCAUGAACCUUUACUGUAGCUUUGUAUUGGACUUUGAACAGAUCUGUGUAGGAUAGGUGGGAGGCUUUGAAGCAGGGUCGCUAGAUCUUGUGGAGCCAACGUUGAAAUACCACCCUGGUGUGUUUGAGGUUCUAACCUAGGUCCAUUAUCUGGAUCGGGGACAGUGCAUGGUAGGCAGUUUGACUGGGGAGGUCUCCUCCCAAAGCGUAACGGAGGAGUUCGAAGGUACGCUAGUUACGGUCGGACAUCGUGACGAUAGUGCAAUGGCAUAAGCGUGCUUAACUGCGAGACUGACAAGUCGAGCAGAUGCGAAAGCAGGACAUAGUGAUCCGGUGGUUCUGUAUGGAAGGGCCAUCGCUCAACGGAUAAAAGGUACUCUGGGGAUAACAGGCUGAUACCGCCCAAGAGUUCAUAUCGACGGCGGUGUUUGGCACCUCGAUGUCGGCUCAUCUCAUCCUGGGGCUGCAGCCGGUCCCAAGGGUAUGGCUGUUCGCCAUUUAAAGAGGUACGUGAGCUGGGUUUAAAACGUCGUGAGACAGUUUGGUCCCUAUCUUCCGUGGGCGCUGCAGAUUUGAGGAAGCCUGCUCCUAGUACGAGAGGACCGGAGUGGACACACCUCUGGUGUAUCGGUUGUCACGCCAGUGGCAUUGCCGAGUAGCUAAGUGUGGAAGAGAUAACCGCUGAAAGCAUCUAAGCGGGAAACUCGUUUCAAGAUGAGAUCUGCCGGGGCCUUGAGCCCCCUAAAGAGUCGUUCAAGACCAGGACGUUGAUAGGUCAGGUGUGGAAGCUAG
rnacentral:rRNA from 1 species